UUGUCGAUUGGGAGGGCUACGGUCCGGAGGAUCGCUCCUGGGUCCCUGGCUCUUUUAUUUUAGAUCCUUCCCUCAUCACGGACUACCGCUCGUCGCUUCCCUCCUCUUCGUCUCGGCCGCCAGGUGGCGACCGUUGAGGGGGGGGUACUGUUGUGUUCCGGGGUUCUUUGUUUUCCUUGUGGGAGUCUGUUUGCUGCUUCUCACCAUCUAGCCACCAGAUAGCGCCAGACUCACCUCUCUCCGGAGUGGUGUGUCAUCCUCCUGCGCACCUGAGAUCAAUCUGCUCGUCAGGCAAGGUGUACAAGAGGAGCUGACUGCCAGUACUUCGAUGCCUGAGUGUUAGCCAGUAACGGUCCUCCUGGAUUUCCUGGUUGGCAGUCACGCCGUCCCUCCGUCACCACUGCAUGAGCCUACCUGUCCGUCCUCUGUUCCACUUCCUCGUUGCCUUCUGGACUUCUGUGGCUGAGCUCUGGACUAUCUGGAUCCACAAAGUGACCAAGUCCCCGGACACUUCAGCAAACCCCUCCUAAACUCCGAACCUCCGUCUAACAAUGAGCCGAGCGUUUCUGUGAGCCCGCUUCUCCCCUGGACGAGACCCGUCGCUUCACUAUUUUUUCCAGUUUGUGUUCGCAAUAAACUCACUUAAUUAUAUACGUGUCUCCUGUGUUGUGUUCUGCA